GGGCGAAAGCCUGAUGCAGCAACGCCGCGUGCGGGAUGAAGGCCCUAGGGUUGUAAACCGCUUUCAGCAGGGAAGAAAAUGACGGUACCUGUAGAAGAAGGUGCGGCCAACUACGUGCCAGCAGCCGCGGUGAUACGUAGGCACCAAGCGUUGUCCGGAUUUAUUGGGCGUAAAGAGCUCGUAGGCGGUUCGGUAAGUCGGGUGUGAAAACUCUGGGCUCAACCCAGAGAGGCCACCCGAUACUGCCAUGACUAGAGUGCGGUAGGGGAGUGGGGAAUUCCUGGUGUAGCGGUGAAAUGCGCAGAUAUCAGGAGGAACACCAGUGGCGAAGGCGCCACUCUGGGCCGUAACUGACGCUGAGGAGCGAAAGCGUGGGUAGCAAACAGGAUUAGAUACCCUGGUAGUCCACGCCGUAAACGUUGGGCACUAGGUGUGGGUCUCAACCAACGAGAUCCGCGCCGUCGCUAACGCAUUAAGUCGCCCCGCCUGGGGAGUACGGCCGCAAGGACUA
rnacentral:rRNA from 1 species